UUCUGGCUUAGUUACGGGGCAGAAACUGAUUGUGAUUUUCUCUUCUCAACUAAGGCCCUUCCAGGGACUCUUUGUUCCUAUAAACCUUCAAAUUGUCCUCGAAAUAGCCUUAAGACAUUU